rnacentral:rRNA from 1 species
GUAACGGCGAGUGAAGCGGCAACAGCUCAAAUUUGAAAUCUGGCCUCUUCGGGGUCCGAGUUGUAAUUUGUAGAGGAUGUUUCGGGUACCGCCUCGGUCUAAAUUUCUUGGAACAGAAUGUCAAAGAGGGUGAGAAUCCCGUCUUGGAUCGGCGGUAGGGCCCAUGUGAAACUCCUUCGACGAGUCGAGUUGUUUGGGAAUGCAGCUCAAAAUGGGUGGUAUAUUUCAUCUAAAGCUAAAUAUUGGCCAGAGACCGAUAGCGCACAAGUAGAGUGAUCGAAAGAUGAAAAGCACUUUGAAAAGAGAGUUAAACAGUAUGUGAAAUUGUUGAAAGGGAAGCGCUUGCAACCAGACUUGCGCGCGGCGGUUCCCCCUUCCUUUUGGCUGGGUUAUUCCGCCGUGUCCAGGCCAACAUCGGUUCUGGGGGUCGGUUAAAGGCUCUGGGAAUGUAUCUACCCUUCGGGCGUAGACUUAUAGCCCAGGGUGUCAUGCGGCCUCCCGGGACCGAGGAACGCGCUUCGGCUCGGAUGUUGGCGUAAUGGUUGUCAGCGACCCG